GGCUCAGAACGAACGUUGGCGGCGUGGAUUAGGCAUGCAAGUCGCGGGAAUCCCAGCAAUGGGGGAACCGGCGUAAGGGGCAGUAAGGCGUGGGUACCUACCCUGGGGUCCGGGAUAGCCGUCCGAGAGGGCGGGUAAUACCGGAUGACCUCGGGAGAGCAAAGCUCCGGCGCCCUGGGAGGGGCCCACGUGAUAUUAGCUGGUUGGUGAGGUGACGGCUCACCAAGGCGGAGAUGUCUAGCGGGUGUGAGAGCACGACCCGCGCCACUCGCACUGAGACACUGGCGAGACACCUACGGGUGGCUGCAGUCGAGGAUCUUCGGCAAUGCGCGCAAGCGCGACCGAGCGACGCCGCGUGGGCGAUGAAGGCCUUCGGGUUGUAAAGCCCUGUCGAGGGGGAGAAAAGGGUAAAACUUUGAUCUAUCCCUGGAGGAAGCUCGGGCUAAGUUCGUGCCAGCAGCCGCGGUAAGACGAACCUAGCGAACGUUGUUCGGAAUCACUGGGCUUAAAGGGCGCGUAGGCGGGCUGCCAAGUUUGGGGUGAAAUCCUCCGGCUCAACCGGGGAAGUGCCUUGAAUACUGGCGGUCUGGAGGGAGGUAGGGGCGUGCGGAACUAACGGUGGAGCGGUGAAAUGCGUUGAUAUCGUUAGGAACUCCGGUGGCGAAGGCGGCACGCUGGACCUUUUCUGACGCUGAGGCGCGAAAGCCAGGGGAGCGAACGGGAUUAGAUACCCCGGUAGUCCUGGCCCUAAACGUUGAGAACUAGGUAGUAGGCCGGACAUGGGCUUACUGCCGGAGCAAAAGUGCUAAGUUCUCCGCCUGGGGAGUAUGGUCGCAAGGCUGAAACUCAAAU
rnacentral:rRNA from 1 species